rnacentral:rRNA from 1 species
CUAAGCCAUGCGAGUCAUUGUAGCAAUACAAGGCAGACGGCUCAGUAACGCGUAGUCAACCUAACCUAUGGACGGGAAUAACCUCGGGAAACUGAGAAUAAUGCCCGAUAGAACACUAUACCUGGAAUGGUUUGUGUUCCAAAUGAUUUAUCGCCGUAGGAUGGGACUGCGGCCUAUCAGUUUGUUGGUGAGGUAAUGGCCCACCAAGACUAUUACAGGUACGGGCUCUGAGAGGAGUAGCCCGGAGAUGGGUACUGAGACACGGACCCAGGCCCUAUGGGGCGCAGCAGGCGAGAAAACUUUGCAAUGUGCGAAAGCACGACAAGGUUAAUCCGAGUGAUUUGUGCUAAACGAAUCUUUUGUUAGUCCUAGAACCACUAACGAAUAAGGGGUGGGCAAGUUCUGGUGUCAGCCGCCGCGGUAAAACCAGCACCUCAAGUGGUCAGGAUGAUUAUUGGGCCUAAAGCAUCCGUAGCCGGCUCUGUAAGUUUUCGGUUAAAUCUGUACGCUUAACGUACAGGCUGCCGGGAAUACUGCAGAGCUAGGGAGUGGGAGAGGUAGACGGUACUCGGUAGGAAGGGGUAAAAUCCUUUGAUCUAUUGAUGACCACCUGUGGCGAAGGCGGUCUACCAGAACACGUCCGACGGUGAGGGAUGAAAGCUGGGGGAGCAAACCGGAUUAGAUACCCGGGUAGUCCCAGCUGUAAACUAUGCAAACUCAGUGAUGCAUUGACUUGUGGUCAAUGCAGUGCUGCAGGGAAGCCGUUAAGUUUGCCGCCUGGGAAGUACGUACGCAAGUAUGAAACUUAAAGGAAUUGGCGGGGGAGCACCACAAGGGGUGAAGCCUGCGGUUCAAUUGGAGUCAACGCCGGAAAUCACU